rnacentral:rRNA from 1 species
UACGUAGGGGGCAAGCGUUGUCCGGAAUCAUUGGGCGUAAAGCGCGCGUAGGCGGCCCUGUAAGUCCGUUGUGAAAGUCAAAGGCUCAACCUUUGAAAGCCGAUGGAUACUGCAGGGCUAGAGUCCGGAAGAGGCGAGUGGAAUUCCUGGUGUAGCGGUGGAAUGCGCAGAUAUCAGGAGGAACACCAAUAGCGAAGGCAGCUCGCUGGGACGGUACUGACGCUAAGGCGCGAAAAGCGUGGGGAGCGAACGAGG